GGUGAUGCCCGGGACCCGACCCGACCUCACCGUUCUCUUGCUUCCCCACUGCUCCAGGACGCGGGUGAAGCCGGGAGCCUGGGCUGGCGCCUGUGGUCUCCAGUUUUCCACUGAGCCCAUCGCCCGUGGGAGGAGCGUCGGCUUCGCCACCUCUCAGGAAUGACCCGUGUCAGAGAGACCGUUUGUACCGAAGGACAUCGGAAAAAGCUGCGACUCUUUCCCCGCUACACGUCCGCGUGAGGCUAUAUUGUCUUCAUUCUCUUCACCCCAAACAAGGCAGCACAGCAUGCUAAGGCAGAAUCAGCACCAAUACCCAUGGAUCCAUCUUACAACUACAGAAUCAGUAAACUCAACCCACCCAGAGUGCUGUGCAAGACAGAAGACCUGCCAUGAAAAACUGGGAAGUACUGGUAUUCUUAAUAUACUGUCAUUUUCUCCCCAAAAUAAAUCCAGUGUUCUGAAAUGUUUUUAACAUUUAAAAAUAAUAUAAAAUGUCUCUGCAGAGUACUUCACUCUUCAACAAUUUAGCACUUAGUCUUCCAACAUAGGUGGAGACUGACUGGUUUUAAAGUGCUUUAAGAAUAAGAACCACUCUCCUUUGGGCCAGCUAGGAAGUAAACAUAAACAGGUGUUGGUAUUUCUGAGACAAGGUCUCUAUGUAUUGACUUCAGGCCUCCCUACUGUUGGAAUUAUGGGUAUGUGCUACCAUGCAUGGCCAACAACUUUUUUUGGUACCAGGGAUCAAA